UCUCCCCUCUCCCUUGUGCGCAUGCCAUAAGAAGCCGAACUUUCUCCACACUAAUCUAGUUUUUAAUGUGAAGAAAAAUAGCAUCUCAAUACUUUCUCACAAGCCUCCUCAUCAUCCCUUAUGGAUUUAAGAGAUAAGGAAGUUUUUGAAUUUGAUUGGAAACAAACUUCCUUAUCUUGAUGAGAUUGGAUCUCAUCCUAACUCCUCCACACCAUAGCC
rnacentral:lncRNA from 1 species